rnacentral:rRNA from 1 species
UGGGGAAUAUUGGACAAUGGAGGCAACUCUGAUCCAGCAAUUCUGUGUGUGUGAGGAAGGUUUUAGGACUGUAAAACACUUUUAGUAGGGAAGAAAAAAAUGACGGUACCUACAGAAGAAGCAACGGCUAAAUACGUGCCAGCAGCCGCGGUAAUACGUAUGUUGCGAGCGUUAUCCGGAAUUAUUGGGCUUAAAGGGCAUCUAGGCGGUAAGACAAGUUGAAGGUGAAAACCUGUGGCUCAACCAUAGGCUUGCCUACAAAACUGUUGAACUAGAGUACUGGAAAGGUGGGUGGAACUACACGAGUAGAGGUGAAAUUCGUAGAUAUGUGUAGGAAUGCCGAUGAUGAAGAUAACUCACUGGACAGAAACUGACGCUGAAGUGCGAAAGCUAGGGGAGCAAACAGG